UACAGAGGUCUCAAGCGUUGUUUGGAUUCAUUGGGCGUAAAGGGCGCGUAGGCGGCGGGGUAAGUCGGGUGUGAAAUCUCAGGGCUCAACCCUGAAACUGCACUCGAUACUGCUCUGCUUGAGGACUGGAGAGGAGACUGGAAUUCACGGUGUAGCAGUGAAAUGCGUAGAUAUCGUGAGGAAGACCAGUGGCGAAGGCGGGUCUCUGGACAGUUCCUGACGCUGAGGCGCGAAGGCCAGGGGAGCAAACGGG
rnacentral:rRNA from 1 species